AUUGAACGCUGGCGGCAUGCUUUACACAUGCAAGUCGAACGGCAGCACGGGCUUCGGCCUGGCGGCGAGUGGCGAACGGGUGAGUAAUGCAUCGGAACGUGCCCAGUAGUGGGGGAUAGCCCGGCGAAAGCCGGAUUAAUACCGCAUACGACCUGAGGGUGAAAGCGGGGGACCGAAAGGCCUCGCGCUAUUGGAGCGGCCGAUGUCGGAUUAGCUAGUUGGUGGGGUAAAGGCUUACCAAGGCGACGAUCCGUAGCUGGUCUGAGAGGACGACCAGCCACACUGGGACUGAGACACGGCCCAGACUCCUACGGGAGGCAGCAGUGGGGAAUUUUGGACAAUGGGGGCAACCCUGAUCCAGCCAUGCCGCGUGCGGGAAGAAGGCCUUCGGGUUGUAAACCGCUUUUGUUCGGGAAGAAAUCCUCUGGGCUAAUACCCCGGGGGGAUGACGGUACCGGAAGAAUAAGCACCGGCUAACUACGUG
rnacentral:rRNA from 1 species